GCGGGGCCUUGCGUCUUGACGGCUGCUCCCCUCCUUUCCUCCCGCCACAAGCGCUCGCUGUGGUUCUGGCAGCGAAGUGCGAGACUGGGCUCGCCAGGCGGAAGUGGUUGGAGACUGCGUGUUUUCCUAGAAAGUCCUCGACCUUCGUCGGGGAGAGGAGGGGAGUGAUAAAUUGGAAGGCGGACAAGCGACAAGUGCGGUACUGGAAAGACCCAAACAUACUUGGUUGUGACCUCAGGACUCAAUAAAAUAAACAGCUGGAAAUAAGCAGACUAGUGUAAGAGUGAAUUGAAAAGAAAACCCAAGGUCACAUCUCCCAAGAAGCAGUAAUGUUCCAGCAAUAAGAAAAGGACAGUUUUUUGUCUUUUGCAUGGUGAGCCUUAUAUGAAUUACAUCAAUUUUGUCACCAAUAUCCAUCAUCAGAACAUUUUGAUUCUACAUAACACAUUGCAAAUGGUCACAACAAUCAAGACUAUAUCCAUAGAUGUCCCAGAAAUAAUAUCUGACUAUACAGAGCAGCAUUACCAAGCCACCAAGAAGUCUGCCUAGUAAUGACAAUGAUAACAACAGCUAACACUUAAACAAAACCUUUUCCAUCAGCAAAGCAUUUUAGAACCUCAAGCUACACUGUUCCCACCUGCAACUGUCUAAGGUAUUGGAGGUCAAGGACAGUCCAAGGCCAAGUCAAGGACCAUCAGGACACAGAGGAGUAACUUCUGAGGCAGCCCCCGGUGGUAACAUAAAAGCUUAAUAUGCAUCAGACAAGUGCCUUCGCUGUGAGAUGUUGGGGAACCAAGCCCAGUGGGGUGGCUGGCGUCAGCUCAGUGUUCCAGAAAAGCCAAACUGUUCACCACGACUUGCCCUGAUUUUGCCUUCACUGCUAUUCAAAGAGGCCUGAAGCAGUUACUGAAAGCAAUU
rnacentral:lncRNA from 1 species